rnacentral:rRNA from 1 species
AUUGAACGCUGGCGGCAGGCCUAACACAUGCAAGUCGAGAGGAGCGGCGGACGGGUGAGUAAUGCCUAGGAAUCUGCCUGGUAGUGGGGGAUAACGUACGGAAACGGGCGCUAAUACCGCAUACUAUCAGAUGAGCCUAGGUCGGAUUAGCUAGUUGGUGGGGGAAAGGCCUACCACGGCGACGAUCCGUAACUGGUCUGAGAGGAUGAUAAGUCAGACGGGAACUGAGACACGGUCCAGAAUCCGACGGGAGGCAGCAGUGGGGAAGAUUGGACAAGUGGCGAAAGCCUGAUCCAGCCAUGCCGCGUGUGGGAAGAAGGUCUUCGGAUUGUAAAGCACUUUAAGUUGGGAGGCGUUACCAACAGAAUAAGCACCGGCUAACUUCGUGCCAGCAGCCGCGGUAAUUC